UUAAAAAAUAUCUGAAAAAAUAAAUCGAUAAAAAAAAAUCUUAACAUAAAUUUAACAAAUAGAAAAAAUAAAUAGCAAUAACAUAAAUAAAAAUAAAAAUAUUCUAAGUGAGGAUACAAAAUUGGUACACCCGCAUAAUAAGAUUAGAAAAAUGAAAUCUAUCAAAAUCUUGAAAAGAAAAACUCUAAAUUAGAAGAGAAACAAA
rnacentral:lncRNA from 1 species